rnacentral:tRNA from 1 species
AAAGUAAUGAAGUAAUAUUACAAUUAGCUUCGAACUAAUUAUAAGAGGAAAACCUCCUUACUUUU